CCUACGGGAGGCUGCAGUGGGGAAUAUUUGGCAAUGGGCGCAAGCCUGACCCAGCAACGCCGCGUGAAGGAAGAAGGCUUUCGGGUUGUAAACUUCUUUUAAGAGGGAAGAGCAGAAGACGGUACCUCUUGAAUAAGCCACGGCUAACUACGUGCCAGCAGCCGCGGUCAUACGUAGGUGGCAAGCGUUGUCCGGAUUUACUGGGUGUAAAGGGCGUGUAGCCGGGCUGACAAGUCAGUUGUGAAAUUCCGGGGCUCAACCCCGGCCCUGCAUUUGAAACUGUUGGUCUUGAGUAUCGGAGAGGCAGGCGGAAUUCCUGGUGUAGCAGUGAAAUGCGUAGAUAUUAGGAGGAACACCAGUGGCGAAGGCGGCGUGCUGGACGACAACUGACGGUGAGGCGCGAAGGCGUGGGGAGCGAACAGGAUUAGAUAACCGAGUAGUC
rnacentral:rRNA from 1 species